rnacentral:rRNA from 1 species
UACGUAUGGUGCAAGCGUUAUCCGGAUUUACUGGGCGUAAAGGGAGCGCAGGCGGCGCGCCAAGUCUGAUGUGAAACCCCGGGGCUCAACCCCGGGCAUGCAUUGGAAACUGGCGGGCUGGAGUGCCGGAGAGGUAAGCGGAAUUCCUAGUGUAGCGGUGAAAUGCGUAGAUAUUAGGAGGAACACCAGUGGCGAAGGCGGCUUACUGGACGGCAACUGACGCUGAGGCUCGAAAGAGUGGGGAGCAAACAGG